CAGACGUCAGUAGAAAAGUCAUCAGAACAGCUGCUUUCCAAUACUUCCAACUUUCACAAUCAUUUCUAAAGUGACUCAAAGAGUUGAGCUAGGUAAUUGAAGUGAGUCAAGUGACUGCUAGUCGUGUGCAGAGUUAAUUCAGAAAUUUCCUCAACAAUUUCAUCAAAAUGUGUGGUGGAUUUAAGUUCUCCAAAAAUGCACUUAUUGCUCUUAAUAUCCUCUACAUUUUGGUUGGGUUUAUCCUAAUUGGAGUAGCUACCUAUGGGAAAGCUGCCAAUUUGGUAACUAGCUUACCUAUUAUUGGUGGGAUAGUAGCAUGUGGCAUAUUUCUCUUGGUAAUUGCCAUAAUGGGUUUGAUUGGAGCUGUAAAACAUCAUCAAGUGCUUCUUUUCUUCUAUAUGGUGGUCCUUUUCAUCUUGUUUGUCAUCCAAUUUGCCAUAGCCUGUGCUUGCCUUGCUGUGAAUUCAGAUACUCAGAACACUUUAGCUGUAGCAGGUUGGAAUAGUGCUGACAAUGCCACUAAAGCAGAUGUUGAGAACAAUUUUAAGUGUUGUGGAUUCCACAAUACCACUGAUUCGGGUACCGGAUGCGCGGAAAAAUUCAGUGAUCGUCCAACGUGUGAAAGUGCGCUUGAAAAUAUGAUCAAUUAUGGUUUCCGUGUGUCAGGUGGAAUCGGUCUUUUCUUCAGCUUCACUGAGUUCGUUGGAGUGUGGUUGACCGUACGCUAUCGCAAUCAGAAAGACCCAAAGGGCCACCCCGGUGCUUUUCUCUAAAUUCUUCCUACGAAUCCAUCUGCCGUUGAUCCCCCGUUUGUUCUAUUCCAUUUUACCGUACCCUUUUUUCUCCUUCACACUUACCAUCUUUGCAUAACACUCAUUCCUAGGACUCAAGCUUGUGGGAUUCUCAGUCGCAUAUCGCUUCAGACACAUGGCUGCUGGAAUGAACGAGGUGCAGUGAUUUUCGAAGACAUGAUUGGAAACUGUGUCAAAGCGCUCCCUACACUAGAAUUUUCAUCAGCUCCCAUUCCACAAUUAAUUUUUUUUUUUUAAAUUUCGCCAUGUGUGCUCAUCGUCCUUUGGACUUCAGUUAGCAAAAGUUUUAUGUUUUCCUUUUUUCUCGGAAUGAUGCAAUGCUGAAGUGGUGCGGGAUAUGCGUAAUAUAAUUGAUGUGGCAAUAGAUGUUGUUCAGUUAACUGAAAUACAUUAUAAAUCUAACUAUCAAA
rnacentral:misc_RNA from 1 species